UAAAUCAUUAUCUUAAACAGAUUAAGGAUCAUUUUGGACUACACUUACAUUACUUUACAACUGCUUAAUGCAGUACUGAUGUAUCUAGUAGUUAAGUGGGUUUAACUAAUGUCACAUCUGUUUUUAUUCAUUUCAGAUGCAGAAACUUUUGACAUAUGAAUUCAUCUUGACUAAGGAACUCUUCACAGCACUGCAUCUGAACAGUCACAACCUCACAGAGCUGCACAACUGCCCCACUCAAGAUCAGUGUUGAAGCUGGAACCUCGUCUUGUGUACAGCAAAGGCAGAGCUGAAAAUUCACUGUUUGUCUUGUAUUGUGUGUGGCAAGACCUGGAAUAACACCUGGGAGCCCUCCAGGAAUUCCUGACACUUUACGCACAAGUCUCCUCAUGCUAACCGGAUUGCAAUAUGACAGUCUAGUCAGCAUAAACACCUGGACUCACCAAGCACACUUUGGU